GUGAACGCUGGCGGUAGGCCUAACACAUGCAAGUCGCACGGCAGCACAGUAAGAGCUUGCUCUUACGGGUGGCGAGUGGCGGACGGGUGAGGAAUACAUCGGAAUCUACUUUUUCGUGGGGGAUAACGUAGGGAAACUUACGCUAAUACCGCAUACGACCUACGGGUGAAAGCAGGGGAUCUUCGGACCUUGCGCGAUUGAAUGAGCCGAUGUCGGAUUAGCUAGUUGGCGGGGUAAAGGCCCACCAAGGCGACGAUCCGUAGCUGGUCUGAGAGGAUGAUCAGCCACACUGGAACUGAGACACGGUCCAGACUCCUACGGGAGGCAGCAGUGGGGAAUAUUGGACAAUGGGCGCAAGCCUGAUCCAGCCAUACCGCGUGGGUGAAGAAGGCCUUCGGGUUGUAAAGCCCCUUUGUUGGGAAAGAAAAGCAGCAGGUUAAUACCCCGCUGUUCUGACGGUACCCAAAGAAUAAGCACCGGCUAACUUCGAG
rnacentral:rRNA from 1 species